AAGCCUGAGGUAUUUAAUACAUAGGUUUUCUGAUACAAACACAAGAACAUAUAAACCGCAUGCGUGGACGUAACGAAUUCAAAAAUCUAUUUACCUGCAUCCAGAUAAACAUUAGAACAAUAUCAAUAUGUAUAAAUCAACCCAGUAAAAAACCAGGACAAUCAAACAUAAUAAACAAUUAAAAGAUUCCUGAAAAAUGUGCGAGCUAUCACAGGUUAGACGGCUACAGACAGCAACAUGUCGGUCUAUAUGACAAUAUAACAGGACAGCAAAACGUAUCUGAAUUGUAU
rnacentral:lncRNA from 1 species